AGCCAGUGUGGUAUAGUGGUUAAAAUGCUGGACUAGGACCUGGAGGACCAGGGUUCAAAUCCCUAUAUGGCCA